UACGUAGGGUGCAAACGUUGCUCGGAAUUAUUGGGCGUAAAGCGCACGUAGGCGGCUUUGAAAGUCGGAUGUGAAAUCCCUCGGCUCAACCAAGGAAGUGCAUCCGAAACUGCAGAGCUUGAGUACCAAAGAGGAUCGCGGAAUUCCCGGUGUAGAGGUGAAAUUCGUAGAUAUCGGGAGGAACACCAGUGGCGAAGGCGGCGAUCUGGGUGGAUACUGACGCUGAGGUGCGAAAGCGUGGGGAGCAAACAGG
rnacentral:rRNA from 1 species